rnacentral:rRNA from 1 species
GACGAACGCUGGCGGCGUGCUUAACACAUGCAAGUCGAACGGUGAAGCGCCUUCCUUUUUGGUGGGUGUGGAUGAGUGGCGAACGGGUGAGUAACACGUGAGUAACCUGCCCCCUUCUUCUGGAUAACCGCAUGAAAGUGUGGCUAAUACGGGAUAUUCUGGGUCUGUCGCAUGAUGGGUCUGGGAAAGAUAUUGUUUCGGUGGGGGAUGGGCUCGCGGCCUAUCAGCUUGUUGGUGGGGUGAUGGCCUACCAAGGCGGUGACGGGUAGCCGGCCUGAGAGGGUGGACGGUCACACUGGGACUGAGACACGGACCAGACUCCUACGGGAGGCAGCAGUGGGGAAUAUUGCACAAUGGGCGCAAGCCUGAUGCAGCGACGCCGCGUGAGGGAUGGAGGCCUUCGGGUUGUGAACCUCUUUCGCCAGUGAAGCAGGCCUGCCACGUUUGUGGGUGGGUUGACGGUAGCUGGAUAAGAAGCGCCGGCUAACUACGUG